UACGUAGGGUGCAAGCGUUGUCCGGAAUUAUUGGGCGUAAAGAGCUCGUAGGCGGUCUGUUGCGUCCGCUGUGAAAACUCGGGGCUUAACCCCGAGCCUGCAGUGGAUACGGGCAGACUAGAGGUAGGUAGGGGAGAGUGGAAUUCCCGGUGUAGCGGUGAAAUGCGCAGAUAUCGGGAAGAACACCCGUGGCUAAGGCGGCUCUCUAGUACGGUACUGACGCUGAGACGCGAAAGCGUGGGGAGCGAACAGG
rnacentral:rRNA from 1 species